rnacentral:lncRNA from 1 species
CUGGAGAACAAAAACCAAAGUAUAUAUUAUAUAUGCAUGUACAUACACACAUAUAUACCUAUCACAUAUGUAUUUAUAUAAUAUGAUAAUGUUAUUAUCUAUAAUGUAAUAAUAUAAUCUGUAUGUAUCUAUAUAUUAUAUAUGAAUGGAGAUAGAUAGAUGGGUAGCUAGAUAGACAGAAGGGAUUUAUUUUUUAAGAGAUUGGUUUAUGUGAUUGUGAAACCUGAAGCCCAUAGGUCAGGCUGGGAACUCAGGGCAAAGAUAAAACCCAGACUGCUAUUAGCAUGAUAUGGUAUCAAGAUCAGGAUAUCAAGGAUGUGGUUAUAACACACUUUGUUAAGACCUCAGAAAGAUUCAAAGCAGUGCCUUUUAGACCCUUUUCAUAAGACAAAAAAGGUGUGGUUUUACCACAGCUCCCUGACUCUUAGCUCAGGUAGGAAGCCUUUAUUGCAUAGAAUUCUGGGCAUGACUUUGGGACAAUGGAAUGAAGCUCAAUAAAAUUUUAUAGAAAACCAAUAAAAUGGUUUUAUUUUAAAGAGUUUCGUCAGUGGAAUUAUCAUUACCUUCAACUAAAAUGAAAAGAAGCAUUUAGACCGUCACUCUCUUAUUAGGAAAACUAUUCAUUGCAAACUCAUGCCAAGUCUCAUGAAAAAGGAAGCACCACUCAGAGAUCAGGUACAAGAGCAAUAAACAAUCAUGUAUGGGAAGUAGAGUGGGCUCCAAUCAAGGAACUGGCUGUAUGUAUUGGUCUUGAUUUAGGAAUCCUUAUGGCACAUUACCUGCAAUGUGUCUUCCAUUUUCUCCCUUUUUGAAUAAAAGAGUCUGCAAUGGCUCUUCUGUCCCUGGCUUAUAGCAGUAACUCUAUGUUAGAAGAAACAAUGGGGGUAAUUUGUCCCUUUACUUCCUAGUUUAUAGGUCUUUGGAUUGAGAGGAGCCACUCCUAAGGGGUCUUGUUGUCACCCGAACCUUGUCUUCAAGCCCGAUAGUACAAUUAGGUGAGAACUUCGAAGUCUUGGAAUGGGAUGAGUACAUUUUGCUCAUGGGAGGAAUAUAAGUAAUUUGUGACCAGGGCCAGACUAUAGUGGAUUAAAAACAGCCAUUUAUUCAUUAUCAGUCUCCUCCAUAAAAGGUGGACUUUAUUGUCGAUCCUGUUUAAUAUAUGCUGCUCUAGUGAUUGGUUCACCAAAUGAUGGCAAUGGAAGUGACACUGUGCCAUUCCCAGGACUAAGCCUAUUACAUUCAUGAGACCAAGCACAUAAGCACUAGAUGUUGGACCUUCUGUCUAACAGGGUGGUUUUCUUUUAAUGCUACAGCUUCAGUGAGAGGAAUGCACCCUGGGUUCUGUGAAGGAGGAAGAUUUGUGUUCUGCCCAGCAGUCUGAUCAGAGAUUCAACACAUAUUUAUUGAAAAAUCUACUGUGUUCCAGACAUAUUUCUGAAGAGUUGUAUAACUCAUGUUUGCAUCAAACUGCCUUUAUAUCUUACACACAGUCAAUAUCUGCAAACUCAAAGUAGAAAAAAUAGUAAAAUAUUCAUAUUAAAAGAUUUGGAACUGAUAUUUAUUCUGUUAACUGAACAUGAAAUUUAUUUUAUGAGCUUGGCUUAUGAUAUCAUGGUGUAAAAAUAGCCCAAGGUUACAUAAAACCCAGCUUAGCAGUUAAGAAAGGAAUGAAUUGUAAUAAUCAGAAUACAAAAAAUAGCAGAAAUAUUUACCACUAAAUACUUGAGGAAAAUUCAACACAACCAACAUGGGAAGCUUUCAAUUGAUAAGUUAUAAUGCAAGAGAUCAUUUUAUUCAUGAAAACUAGAAAAUUCUCAAAGUUUCAAUUUAGUGGCUGUAUAGAAAUCAGUUCUCAUUUAACAUUGACAGUAGAAUGUGCUUUGUGAUUGCUUCACACAAAGUAAAGUAGCGUGAGGUUAUAAAAAAGGCAAAAUAUAAUUUGGCAAAAACUGAACAGGGGUAACAGUGAGAACAUAGAAUAAAAUUUUAGAAUAUUUGUCAAUGAGAGUGUAAAUAUAUUACCUAGCACUGUGCUAGGUAUUUUACCCAAACUGUAUUAAUUAUCUCAAUUAUUUUCACAAUUACUGUAGCAAGUAAGCACUAUUAUUAACUUUACAUUUGCAGAUAAGAAAACUGAAGCAUUAAACAUCUUGUGAUUUUCUCAAAUUGGUGUUUCAGUUGCUUAUUGCUUUAUCAACCAAGAAAUGGAACAGUACCUCUGCUCACAAAAUAAGCAUAAAUGUUAAAGACCCAUAAAAAAUUGUCUCAACAGCCUGAGCCAUCACAUAAAAGUUUGACUGCUCUCAUGGAGAAACCACAUGGAAGGAUCACCUGGAGAAGAAAUGUUUUGAAAACACAUACAGAAGAAAAGACAUCCAGCUAUCUUAGCAUCCCAGAGACCUGUAGAACUAUUCAGCUGAGCUCACUGAAACCAGAACCAUGAGAGAUGAUAAAAUGUUUGUUGUCUGAAUCAACUACAUUUCGAAAUGUCAUUUCACAAAAUAUUGAGUAGUGUUUCCUUGUAUGAAUAUACUACAUUUUUAAAAGCCAACUUUUCCUUUUAGAAAUUAAAAGCAACAUGCAGAAGAUGAAAUGCGUGACUUCAAAGAUUCCGUGGUUUUUCAAAUUCUAAUUGUGCUUGACCGCUGAAAUGUAGUAAAGUAAAAAGAGUCCUAGACUGGAAAUUGAGAGAUCUGGGUUUUAUUUUCUACCCUGUCAAAAGCUAUCUGAUGACCUCAAGCAAGUAAGAUUCAGAUUUUAGAUUUAAGUUUUUAAGUUCAAUGAGAAAUUGAACUGUAAAGUGAGAAUUUGGUCUCAAUUUGGAACUUUUCUAGGGCUAACAUUUUAUAACUCUAGAUUUAAAUCACCUAGAACAGUAGUUCUCAAAAAGCUAGGGAGUGUCUUCAUUUUGUAGAAAUAUCUUUCUGAUUUCUGGCGGAUAAACAUCUCCCUUGGCAUUUAAACUCAGUUUUGUCCCACCCUCAUUGCUAUGAAAUCACCCCACUCCAAAUGUUCUCAAACACCCUCAGGGGGGCUUAACAUCCUAUGUUGAGAAUCUAAUUCUCAAUUUCUACAAAGUCAGCUUUUUGAGAGUAUGUAAAUGAGUUUGGAGAUAACUAAUUUUUUAAAAAAUUAAGUCUUCUAAUCCAAGAACAUAUUAUAUCUUUCCAUAUAUUUUGUUUUUAUUUUUCUAUGCAAUUUUGAUUGAUUUUCAAAAUAGAAGUUAUCCAUAUUUUCAUGAAUUUAUUUCUAGGCAUUUUAUGUUUCUAAAAAUAUGGAGUUUUUAAUUUAUUUUUUCAGUAGGUUCCAGCUAGUAUAUAGAUAUAAAUUGGAAUUUUUAAUAAUGAUAAUAAAUUUAAUUACUUAGCUAAUUUCUCUCUUUUUAAAAUUUCUUAGGAUUUUAUCUUUGACAAGUUUGUUGUUUUCUAGUAGACAGUUUAAUUUUGUCCUUUCCAAGCUGAUUAUACUUUAUUUCUUUUUCUUGUAUAUUGCAAUGGCUGGGAACCCCGUUCUAAUGUUGAAUAGAGAUAGUGAAAUAGCCUUGGCUUGUUCCUGAACUCAGUAGAAUCAAAUCUAGUUUUUCAUCAUUAAUAUGAUGUGAUAAUUUUGUAGAUGUGCUUUAUCUGUUUGAGGAAGCUCCUUUCUAUUCCUAAUUUGCCAAAAAUUUUUAUGUAGAAUAGCUUUUGGGUUUUGACAAAUGAGAUUAUGGAAUCUGUAAUUUUGUUUUCUUAUUGUGUUAAUUUGGUGGGCUAUGUUGAUUGAUUUUUAAAUGUUAAAUCAGGUGAGAUAAACCCUACUUGGUUGUAAUGUAUUAUCUUUUGAGUUGCUAGAUUUAAUUUACUAAUAUUUUGUUAAAAUUAAUUAAAUUAUAACCUUUCGAUAUGUAUUAAAUAUUUUAUGCAGCA